rfam:Trichosporon asahii var. asahii CBS 8904 unplaced genomic scaffold scaffold00105, whole genome shotgun sequence.
GGGCAUGUAGCUCAGUUGGUAGAGCGCGUCAUUAGCAUCUCCACUCGCAGUCUCGAGAGCAGCGAGCAAGCAUUGCUUCAUUGACGAGGUCUUUGGUUCGAUUCCUAACCUGUCCA